ACCUAUCCCUCCCAACAGCUAGCUUACCCCCUAAAUCUAACAAGCCCCCAUCAACUUAAACCCAAAUACCCCCAAGCAACAAAACAAACCAUUUUUCCCCCAUAGUAUAGGUGAUAGAAAAGGACCAAAACGCAAUAGAAAAAGUACCGCAAGGGAAUGCUGAAAGAGAAAUGAAACAACCCAGUAAAGAGAAAGAAAGCAGAGACCCCCCCUCGUACCUUUUGCAUCAUGAAUUAGCCAGAAAAUUUUAAGCAAAGUGCACUUUAGUUUAAACCCCCGAAACUAGACGAGCUACUCCAAGACUGCCUAUUAGGGCUAACCCAUCUCUGUGGCAAAAGAGUGGGAAGAGCUUAGAGUAGAGGUGACAGACCUAACGAGCCUAGUUAUAGCUGGUUGCCUACAAAAUGAACAGAAGUUCAGCCUUUUAACUUCUUCCUCCAACUACAAUUAACUUCACCAACUGGUAUAAAGAAGCUAAAAGAGUUAUUCAAGGGGGGUACACCCCCCUCGAAAAAAGACACAACUUUAUAAAGCAGGCUAAAGAUCAAACUCCCUUAAGGCAAGACACCUUGGUAGGCCUAAAAGCAGCCACCCCCUCAGAAAGCGUUAAAGCUCAAGUAACAUAUCAGCCCUAAAUCCCAAUAACAAAAUCUUAAGCCCCUAACUGCUAUAGUAGGCCCAUUUAUGUAGACAUAAAAGAGACACUGCUAACAUGAGUAAUAAGAGGGCCCAGGCCUUCUCCACAAGCAUCUGUUUACAUCAGAACGAACCCCCACUGAAAAUUAACGCCCCCAAUUCAUAGAGGGAAAUGAAAUAGACCAACUUAAACUAGAAAACCUCUCAAACCCCAAGCGUUGACCCUACACAGGUGUGCCCAAGGAAAGACUAAAAGAAAAAGAAGGAACUCGGCAAACACUGGCCUCGCCUGUUUACCAAAAACAUCGCCUCUUGCAAGCACAACACAUAAGAGGUCCCGCCUGCCCUGUGACUCAUUAGUUUAACGGCCGCAGUAUUUUGACUGUGCAAAGGUAGCGUAAUCACUUGUCUUUUAAAUGAAGACCAGUAUGAAUGGCACAACGAGGGCCAAGCUGUCUCCUUUUUCUAGUCAAUGAAAUUGAUUUUCCUGUGCAGAAGCAGGAAUACCCCCAUAAGACGAGAAGACCCUAUGGAGCUUCAGACAUAAGGCAGCCCAUGUUAAAAGCCCAGAUUAAUGGAAAUAACAAAAUGGCCUUCUGCCCAUCUGUCUUUGGUUGGGGCGACCAUGGAGCAACAAGAAUCCUCCAUGUGGAAUGGGGUCACAACCCCUAAAGCCAGAGCCACAGCUCUUGCAAACAGAACAUCUGACCAACAAGAUCCGGUCUAACCGAUCAACGGACCGAGUUACCCUAGGGAUAACAGCGCAAUCCCCUUUUAGAGCCCAUAUCGACAAGGGGGUUUACGACCUCGAUGUUGGAUCAGGACAUCCUAAUGGUGCAGCUGCUAUUAAGGGUUCGUUUGUUCAACGAUUAAAGUCCUACGUGAUCUGAGUUCAGACCGGAGAAAUCCAGGUCAGUUUCUAUCUAUGCUGUGCUCUUUUCUAGUACGAAAGGACCGAAAAGAAGAGGCCCCUGCUUAAAGUAAGCCUCCCCCUCACCUAAUGAAACCAACUAAAUUAGAUAAAAGGGCGCACUACCCAUGUUUAAGAAAAAGACAA
rnacentral:rRNA from 1 species